GUUUCUGCAGAGCGACAAGAGUUCUUUCGAAAUUCACCUCUAAGUGGUGGGUGGGAGUUUUGGCGGAGCGUAAGUCUGCCCCCCUUCCCGUCGCCCACUGAGCUAUGUGUUCAUGCUCUCCUGCUAUCUUACAGCUUGAGGCAGAUGCAGCUCCCACAGCAUUUUUUCUUCUGCCCCGAUUCACAAGGAUUUCAAUAAAGAAACACUUAGAAAAUCAAUUUAAAGCUCAACUUUCUUUAUAUAUGCCCUUCAUCAUUAGAAAAAGUCCACAAAAACAUGAUUUAUUUAUCAGAGUAUUAAAAACCAGAGCUUUUUUUGUUUAAUUUUGCCCUCUGGUGGCUCUGAAAUCAACUGUUUUACAAAAACAAUGUUUUGUCCAAAGAGUUUGAAUUUUUUUGGCUAGAUUUUCUACAGGGGGUUUGAGGUUUGCAUUGACGUUACAAUGAAACAGCUGUAGACAAAAGACAGGUACCAGUUCAUGACAGGUGUUUUUGUAUUUUUAUUAAAUAAGGUUAAAAAGAAGAAAAGUUAGUGUGACAUUUUCCCACCACCAUCACACCUCGCUCUCAAACUUCCAUCUUGGUCUUGGUCGGCAGCAACAAAAGCUUUGCUUCACUCGUCAAAAACGGUUCUGCAAGUCGGUGUGUCUCGGAAACUAAGCUUCGUGUGUCAACGCUGGAGUUUCUCAGCUCUGACUGAGUGGUGGCCAUAUGCUCCAUCUCUCUGAAAAAGAGAUGUUAUCCUGUAGAUCUGUGUCGAUGGGCCUCCUGUGUGUCAUGACUCUUCUGCCGUGGACAGAGGCUCUGCUAGAUUCGGCACAAGUUUGUCUACUCCAGACAUCUAUUGUGUUUUUUAAUCAAAAAAGGACGUUUAUGGUGAUAAUUUGCUGGUUUGUUUCAAAAAGUAGCUUUAAACUAUUUGUUAAUGAUGGAAAAAGUUGUCAUUUUUUUAAAUUACUUAAGGAAGACUGGUGAGAACAGUCAUGUUUCAAUAAAAGGACUGAGAUUAUCACUUAAUCUGGACUACCAGUAGCUCUUUGUAGAGAUGAACUAACCCAAACAUGGCUUUUCAGGAUCCUUCACUAUAAAAAGAGAUGGCCUAAAAAUAGAAAAAGAACUCUAAUCUUAAGAAAGAAAAUCACUACAAAGUAGUAAAAUGAUCUGUCUAUGCAGUACGUCAUUUUACUUAACGAGAAAUCUGAUAAAAUAAUGAAAUCUAGAAACAAGGAGUUCCACACAAGCGUUCUAAAAAGGGAAAAA